UUGGAGGGCAAGUCUGGUGCCAGCAGCCGCGGUAAUUCCAGCUCCAAUAGCGUAUAUUAAAGUUGUUGCAGUUAAAAAGCUCGUAGUUGAAUUUCGGGAUUAGUACGUUGGUCGUGCCUUCGGUACGUACUGGUGUUACUGAUUCCUACCUUCUGACGAACCAUCAUGUCAUUAAUUUGGUGUGGCGGGGAAUCAGGACUGUUACUUUGAAAAAAUUAGAGUGUUUAAAGCAGGCUCGCGCUUGAAUACAUUAGCAUGGAAUAAUGAAAUAGGACGUUGACCCUAUUUUGUUGGUUUCUAGGAUUGACGUAAUGAUUAAUAGGGAUAGUUGGGGGCAUUAGUAUUCAAUUGUCAGAGGUGAAAUUCUUGGAUUUAUUGAAGACUAACUACUGCGAAAGCAUUUGCCAAGGAUGUUUUCAUUAAUCAAGAGCGAAAGUUAGGGGAUCGAAGACGAUCAGAUACCGUCGUAGUCUUAACCAUAAACUAUGCCGACUAGGGAUCGGAUGAUGUUAUUUUUAAUGACUCAUUCGGCGCCUUACGGGAAAC
rnacentral:rRNA from 1 species